rnacentral:rRNA from 1 species
GAUAAACGCUGGCGGCGUGCAUGAGACAUGCAAGUCGAACGGACGAUCGAGGCUUGCUUCGAUCGUUAGUGGCGGACGGCUGAGUAACGCGUAGGUGACCUGCCCCGAAGUGGGGAAUAACUGCCCGAAAGGGUGGCUAAUACCGCAUGUGGUGGUGUGUUCAAUCACACCAGUAAAGCCGCAAGGCGCUUCGGGAGGGGCCUGCGUCCGAUUAGCUCGUUGGUGGGGUAACGGCUCACCAAGGCGACGAUCAGUAGGUGGUCUGAGAGGACGAUCACCCAGACUGGGACUGGGACACGGCCCAGACUCCUACGGGAGGCAGCAGUCGGGAAUUUUGCGCAAUGGACGAAAGUCUGACGCAGCAACGCCGCGUGAGGGAUGACGGCCUGG